GGGAUUCCAAUGUUGGAAGCAUUUUUAGCGUACAACAACAUCCAAGUGGAUUACUAUGAAUGCCUAGACCUCUAUGGCAAACAGUCUCUUCGUGGCCUGUGCUGAGGACUACAUCAGUCUCCUGCAAUUAUCAUCUACACUGAAAAACAAAGAGGACAGAGGCGAAGCUAGUGGCCCUCACCAUCCCCUGCAAGCUGAUUGCUUCUUACUGCAAGCACUUGAGCAUCUUCCUGAGAGCUUUCUUGGGCAAUGGGAACCAGGCUUGGCCCAAUCACAGGCAGGUGAAGUAUGAGGAAAUGGAGAAGGCAUUGUCCAAGGAGCAGUCUUCAACCUUCACCCCGCAAGUGAGACAACUCUGAAUAAGAUGUGUUCUACACUCUCUUCCAAAGGUCCCCAGUUGGAUGGAGCUCUAGCUGCUCAUGUGAUAAGCUGCCUAUUAAUACACAAAAGAUUGCCUUUCCUCCUUGCUCUGUCUUCCUGCUGCUCUCCUACUAAUGUUUCCUGGGAUUGCCUCCAAAUAAACCACUUGAACUCA
ensembl:lncRNA LINC00687 long intergenic non-protein coding RNA 687